GGGCCCGCACAAGCGGUGGAGCAUGUGGUUUAAUUCGAUGAUACGCGAGGAACCUUACCAGGGCUUAAAUGUAAGUUGCAUAGAUCAGAGAUGGUCUUUUCUUCGGACUACUUACAAGGUGCUGCAUGGUUGUCGUCAGCUCGUGCCGUGAGGUGUCAGGUUAAGUCCUAUAACGAGCGCAACCCCUAUCGUUAGUUGCCAACAGGUUAAGCUGGGAACUCUAACGAGACUGCCGGUGCAAACCGCGAGGAAGGUGGGGAUGACGUCAAAUCAUCACGGCCCUUACGUCCUGGGCUACACACGUGCUACAAUGGCCGGUACAGAGAGCAGCCACUCCGCGAGGAGGAGCGAAUCUAUAAAACCGGGUCUCAGUUCGGAUCGGCAGUCUGCAACUCGACUGCGUGAAGCUGGAAUCGCUAGUAAUCG
rnacentral:rRNA from 1 species